UCCCACCAUUGCGGCCCCAACUACGUCCUCUCCGAUUCCCUUCUUCCUCGUUGCACGAUCGGAGACUAAUAUGGAGGAUUAGCGUCGAAUAAGACCAAGGCGCAAUCGACCGUAAAUUCUUCAGGGUCCAUCCGUCGCGUUGAUUUGAGCCACUCUGAGGUGGCCCACUUGUGGGUUCGCUAGCUGCAUCCAAUCACAGUGUGGGUGGGUGGUGUAUCGGGCAUCCGUUGUUCCAAGCACGGAUGGUUUCUUUUCUUAUAAACAAGACCCCAUAGCUCUGCCCGCCGAGACCCAAAUCCGGUGGGCCGCGAAGAGUCGGAGCGUGAUCCAUGGCGGUCUGGGUCUUGUUGUCGACCACCUUGCUUUCUUCCCUUCUAUCCCUGGUACCCUUCUCCGCUGUCGCGGCCGUGAUCUCGGGGCGGCGGGGGAGGCGGAGGGCGGUGGGGUUCUUCCAUUCUUACACCAACGACGGCGGUCGCGGGGAGAGGGUCCUGUGGUGCGCCCUGAGAGCCGUGCAGGAAGAGAACCCCGAUCUCGGCUACGCCGUCUUUACUAGUCAUUUACAUUAUGAAAUUGCAUUCUGCUAUCCAGGUGCAAAGUGGUGUACUAUACAAUAUUUAGUUGGUUGUAUGGGUCGGUGGGAUCCUGUGCACAUCUUGCAAUGGUAAACUCCUCAUGGGCCAGGUCACAUAUAGAUUGUCUGUGGAAGAUUCCUCCACUCACUAAGAGAGUGUACCCUCCCUGUGAUACUUCAUCCCUUCAGGUAUAUAUAUAAUUCUUGUAAAUUGGCAGCCUGGCUUAUACCUGACUGUUGCUUAACAAUUUUAGAAUGCAUGACAAAUUUCCAAGCCAAUUAUAUUUAAUUUUGAUGUCUUGUUUCUUUACAAAACCAACUUUAGAGAGCUAAGUUUCACGGUUUAGCUAAAUGUGUCUUAUUACCUGCAAUUGUUUAAAAGAAUUAGCGAGUUGGACAUUUCAAAACAUCCUAUUUUAUCAUCUGGCUCCAUUUAAUUAUUCACUGCUAGAGAUUUAUUGAACCAUCAUUGAUGAAAGAAAGUACUGAAUGUCCAAGCGGAUGCUUCCUCUGGGAAAGCUAGUUAGGAGUCCUGUGAUUGUAUCAGUUGCCCAGUUUCGCCCAGAGAAGGUAAUGUCUGUGAAUGCCCUCAUCAUGUGGGCAUAUGGUUAGUUGAUGUCACAAUAUUAACUGAACACUUGAUUCUCAUCAAGGCUCAUAGCCUUCAACUGGAAGCGUUUGCACAAUCUGUUGGAAUUCUAGAUCAGGACAUGCCUAGGCCAAAGCUCCAAUUUGUGGGUAGUUGUCGGAAUAAGCAGGAUGAAGAAAGUUUGCAGAAGCUCAAAGAGAGAUGCAGGGAACUAAAUUUGGAUAAUUUUGUGGAGUUCUGCAGGGAUGCUGCGAAUAGGUUCGAUCUGCAGCACUAGUUUUCUUUCAACUUGAAAAUUCCUAGCUGCUAGUAUAUUUUAUGUUUUGGAUUCCCUUUUUUGUCUCUAGAUUUGUUUUCACUGUACACAACUAACAAAAUUUUCUGGUUUUUUCUUAAAUUUUGGUGGAUCAAAACAGAGUUAGUGACAUCUAUGUUUGAGUUUAGGUGUACCAAGUAGAAUUUCCCAUAUAAGGACUCCGUUAUCCUUUAUAUACUGUUUGGUUUUGUGCUACCCUUUUAUGUUAUUGACUAAUCGAAGCAUAUCCAGAAAGAGCAUAAUGAGUAGCUUGAGGCUGGAGAUGUGCAGGAGGAUAAGGACUUCAACAUUCCAUAUGUUCUUGAAGGCCCAGGGUUAUUUACUAAAACAAAGCUGAACUUGUAUGGUUUUUGUGGAUAUUUCUUUUCUACCCUUAUGGAAACCAGAAGUCAGUUCCAUAGUUUGCAGGUAGAGAUGAACGACGACAGAUUUUUACUCCACCAUUAGCAUGGAUGGAACUUCCAUUAAUGGUCUACUCAUUUGUCUGCCGUGUCAGAACUUUGACCAGUGGUCAAUUUGAAGUUCCAGUGGAAUCGAUCUAGAACUGUUCUGAGCAAUACCAUUCUUUCAACUAGUUUGACCGUCUCCUGUAAACUACGACUGACCCAUUAAUGCACGACUGAAUAUAGUGUCCAAAGGAUAACAAGUUAUUGGAUACCUUCAGACUCGAGGGAAUAUCAAAGGUCUUCUGAGAGAGGGAACAAGAAAGUUUUAGAUCAAUCUAAUCGUGGCUAUGCAUCUGAGCUCAAACUUUGACAUACUAUUUGCAGAACAUGCGAUUUUGGAUGUCGUCUUGUGCCUGAACUUUAUGUUUAGAAGUUCUUGAAACUCGAGAGGAAUCUUCACUACAUUAUCUAAAACUCUACUGCCUCCAAUGCAUAAAUGAUAUACAGUUUCUUCUAUUGUUUGCCAUGUUUCCGUCAGCUCUUUUUGAAUUGUUCACCAUAACAAGGACUAGAUCCAACUUCUGGGAGGUGCUGUUGCCGGACUUCACUCUAUGAUUAAUGAACAUUUUGGAAAUAGUGUCGUAGGAGUACAUGGCAUCUGGAGUGAUACCAAUUGCUCAUAAUUCAGCAGGUCCCAAGAUGGACAUAAUUUUGAAUGAAGGUGGACGUAAAACAGGAUUUCUAGCAUCAAACAAAGUGGAAUAUACUGAAGCUAUCCUCAAAGGCAGUUCAGCCUAUUCUAGCACCCAAAUCUUCUUCUUGAACUUGAUUCAAUGAUACUGUAUUCUUCUCGGAUGAUAACAUUUUCCAUGCAUGCUGAGCAUGUUCUGUGGGUAAUAAUUUCCUUUUCUUUUGAUAAAUCUUGAAAUAUACAACACCGAUUUUUGAUAGGUUUAGUAAUGGUGAUGACUAUUUUAUCUAA